GACGUAGGGCGCGAGCGUUGUCCGGAUUUAUUGGGCGUAAAGAGCUCGUAGGCGGCUUGUCGCGUCGUCCGUGAAAACUUGUGGCUUAACCACAGGCUGGCGGUCGAUACGGGCAGGCUGGAGUUCGGUAGGGGAGACUGGAAUUCCUGGUGUAGCGGUGAAAUGCGCAGAUAUCAGGAGGAACACCGGUGGCGAAGGCGGGUCUCUGGGCAGUAACUGACGCUGAGAAGCGAAAGCGUGGGGAGCGAACAGG
rnacentral:rRNA from 1 species